UAGGAAUUUUGCGCAAUGGGGGAAACCCUGACGCAGCAAUGCCGCGUGAGUGAAGAAGGCCUUCGGGUUGUAAAGCUCUUUUAUUCGGAAAGAAACAAAUGACGGUACCGAAAGAAUAAGCACCGGCUAACUCCGUGCCAGCAGCCGCGGUAAUACAGAGGGUGCAAGCGUUAUUCGGAAUUACUGGGCGUAAAGCGCAUGUAGGUGGUUUAGUAAGUCUGGUGUGAAAUCCCUCGACUCAAUCGAGGAAGUGCAUUGGGUACUGCUAGACUAGAGUAUGGGAGAGGUGAGUGGAAUUCCAGGUGUAGAGGUGAAAUUCGUAGAUAUCUGGAGGAACAACAGAGGCGAAGGCGGCUCACUGGACCAUUACUGACACUGAGAUGCGAAAGGGUGGGGAGCAAAC
rnacentral:rRNA from 1 species